CGUGUAGGCGGUUUAAUAAGUCAGAUGUUAAAGCCCCCGGCUUAACCGGGGAUUGUCAUUUGAAACUGUUAGGCUUGAGUGCGAGAGAGGGUGGCGGAAUUCCCAGUGUAGCGGUGAAAUGCGUAGAUAUUGGGAAGAACACCAGUAGCGAAGGCGGCUACCUGGCUCGCAACUGACGCUAAUGCGCGAAAGCGUGGGGGAGCAAACA
rnacentral:rRNA from 1 species